rnacentral:rRNA from 1 species
GACGAACGCUGGCGGCGCGCCUAACACAUGCAAGUCGAACGAGAGAGAGGAAGCUUGCUUCUUCAAUCGAGUGGCGAACGGGUGAGUAACGCGUGAGGAACCUGCCUCAAAGAGGGGGACAACAGUUGGAAACGACUGCUAAUACCGCAUAAGCCCACAGCUCGGCAUCGAGCAGAGGGAAAAGGAGCAAUCCGCUUUGAGAUGGCCUCGCGUCCGAUUAGCUAGUUGGUGAGGUAAUGGCCCACCAAGGCGACGAUCGGUAGCCGGACUGAGAGGUUGAACGGCCACAUUGGGACUGAGACACGGCCCAGACUCCUACGGGAGGCAGCAGUGGGGAAUAUUGCACAAUGGGGGAAACCCUGAUGCAGCGACGCCGCGUGGAGGAAGAAGGUCUUCGGAUUGUAAACUCCUGUUGUUGAGGAAGAUAAUGACGGUACUCAACAAGGAAGUGACGGCUAACUACGUGCCAGCAGCCGCGGUAAAACGUAGGUCACAAGCGUUGUCCGGAAUUACUGGGUGUAAAGGGAGCGCAGGCGGGAAGACAAGUUGGAAGUGAAAUCUAUGGGCUCAACCCAUAAACUGCUUUCAAAACUGUUUUUCUUGAGUAGUGCAGAGGUAGGCGGAAUUCCCGGUGUAGCGGUGGAAUGCGUAGAUAUCGGGAGGAACACCAGUGGCGAAGGCGGCCUACUGGGCACCAACUGACGCUGAGGCUCGAAAGUGUGGGUAGCAAACAGGAUUAGAUACCCUGGUAGUCCACACCGUAAACGAUG